rnacentral:lncRNA from 1 species
UGACUCUGCAAGAUCGGGCUCACGGCCUCUUGUACAACCACUCUCCAAACCUCUGGAUGAUUGUUAGUCGCAGGGUGUGGUCCCUGAAUGUUUAACCAGCCUGAAAUGUUCCACUGUACAAAAGUCAGGUCUGCAGGAGCUCGUGGUGUGCCUGACUGGCCUGCUCAACUCCGCUGCAUUUCUGUCGGCUACAGGACAUUCUCACUGCAUGGCAAAAGAUUCCCGAACCAUGUCCCUGGGGGAGCCAGUGGCGAGGGCUGGUCCCUGUGUGGCUAACUCCUCCCCCAAGUUUGUGACAUGCAGAAAGAUGGGUGUAUGCAUGCAGUGGAGAGAAGGAACCCUCUGCUUGAAUAAUUGAGCCUCCAGAGUCUCCUGAGGGAGUCCAGGAUGACAGGGAACUCCCUUUGUGUUAGUCGGCAGCUGAAAGGUGCACUGCAAGGAGCACAAAGCCAGGUGGUUCCUACAAUGCGUCGAACGGGACCUUCUCACUGCAUGGCAAGAGAUUCCAUAACCAUGUCCCUGGAGGAGCCAGCGGUGAGGGCUGGUCGCCGUGAAGCUAACUACUCCCCCAAGUUUGUGACAUGCAGUAAGGAUCUCUGUGGCCCACGGGAUUCCAAAGCGUGGCCAUGCAGGUUCAAGGCCUGGCUCUCCACUGCAUUUGGUUUUGCUACUUGCCAUCCAUGGAAGCUCGGGCUGACUGGACGACUAGGCCCUGCUCAGUUGUCUACACAUUGGAGUCUGAAGGGAACACAGGCUGACUGACUGAUGGGUGUAUGCAUGCAUUGGAGAGAAGGAGCCCUCUGCCUGAAUAAUUGAGCCUCCAGAGUCUCCUGAGGGAAUCCGGGAUGACAGGGAACUCCCUUCGUGUUAGUCGGCAGCUGAAAGGCACACUACAAGGAGCACAAAGCCAGGUGGUUCUCACAAUGCAUCGAACGGGUAUGUACUACAUGUUUCCCUGCAUGCCAGCCAUACGAGUGCAGGUCGCU